UGAGCGGCGGACGGGUGAGUAACGCGUGGGUAACCUGCCUCAUACAGGGGGAUAACAGUUAGAAAUGACUGCUAAUACCGCAUAAGACCACGGUACCGCAUGGUACAGUGGUAAAAACUCCGGUGGUAUGAGAUGGACCCGCGUCUGAUUAGGUAGUUGGUGGGGUAACGGCCUACCAAGCCGACGAUCAGUAGCCGACCUGAGAGGGUGACCGGCCACAUUGGGACUGAGACACGGCCCAG
rnacentral:rRNA from 1 species